rnacentral:tRNA from 1 species
GACGCGGUACGCGAACAGGUACAGCGGCGAAGCUUAAACCUUCGCGAUUGCGGGUUCGAAUCCCGCCUGCGUCAC